GGAGAGGUGUCCGAGCUGGCCGAAGGAGCACGAUUGGAAAUCGUGUGUACCGCCACAAGCGGUACCGAGGGUUCAAAUCCCUCCCUCUCCG
rnacentral:tRNA from 1 species